AAAUUUUUAGUAUUUUGUUAAUUUCAUUAUUUUUAGUUUACAGGAAUCAAAUUUUCAUUGUUAUUAAAUUCAUUUUGAUAAACAAACUUGAUUAAAUAAUUGACUCAAAUUUCUUUAGGAAAGAAUAUUUUACUUAUUCAUUACUUGUAAGAAAUUAGUACACUUGCCAAAAAUUUUAGGGCGUUGCUCCUUGCACCUCUCCAUUUUCUCCCUCUACCUCUCCCUUCCUCGUUUACUCCUUACUUUAUUUUUUCAUUCCUAAUUUAUCCUUUUCAUUUUUAGGAUUAAAACAUACUCCCGCCCGUGAUAACCUUUAAACGGAUGCUCAUAUACGUUACCGGAUGUCAACAUCCGCCCUAAACAAGCCAAUAACUUCUCGUAACCAAUUGCAUAAACCCCAUUUUCACAAGAAUCACAAGCACGUGUUUUAAGCACCCCAACUAUAUACAUUCUCCAUUAUCAUCCCUCUCUUUGUAUUACUCACCC
rnacentral:lncRNA from 1 species